rnacentral:rRNA from 1 species
AACGAACGCUGGCGGCAUGCCUAACACAUGCAAGUCGAACGAGACCUUCGGGUCUAGUGGCGCACGGGUGCGUAACGCGUGGGAACCUGCCCUUAGGUUCGGAAUAACUCCCCGAAAGGGGUGCUAAUACCGGAUAAUGUCUUCGGACCAAAGAUUUAUCGCCUUUGGAUGGGCCCGCGUUGGAUUAGCUAGUUGGUAGGGUAAAAGCCUACCAAGGAGACGAUCCAGAGCUGGUCUGAGAGGAUGAUCAGCCACACUGGGACUGAGACACGGCCCAGACUCCUACGGGAGGCAGCAGUGGGGAAUAUUGGACAAUGGGCGAAAGCCUGAUCCAGCAAUGCCGCGUGAGUGAUGAAGGCCUUAGGGUUGUAAAGCUCUUUUACCCGGGAUGAUAAUGACAGUACCGGGAGAAUAAGCUCCGGCUAACUCCGUG